rnacentral:ncRNA from 1 species
AUAAAUAACAGAUACAUUGUUCGUAUAACCUCAAUGAUAUGGUUUGAGGGUUUCUACUAGGGGCCGUAAAUCCCUGGCUACGAAUAGGCUGCUUUGCAUA